rnacentral:rRNA from 1 species
AGUCGAACGAGCGAGAGAGAGCUUGCUUUCUCGAGCGAGUGGCGAACGGGUGAGUAACGCGUGAGGAACCUGCCUCAAAGAGGGGGACAACAGUUGGAAACGACUGCUAAUACCGCAUAAGCCCACGGUGUCGCAUGGCACAGAGGGAAAAGGAGCAAUCCGCUUUGAGAUGGCCUCGCGUCCGAUUAGCUAGUUGGUGAGGUAAUGGCCCACCAAGGCGACGAUCGGUAGCCGGACUGAGAGGUUGAACGGCCACAUUGGGACUGAGACACGGCCCAGACUCCUACGGGAGGCAGCAGUGGGGAAUAUUGCACAAUGGGGGAAACCCUGAUGCAGCGACGCCGCGUGGAGGAAGAAGGUCUUCGGAUUGUAAACUCCUGUUGUUGGGGAAGAUAAUGACGGUACCCAACAAGGAAGUGACGGCUAACUACGUGCCAGCAGCCGCGGUAAAACGUAGGUCACAAGCGUUGUCCGGAAUUACUGGGUGUAAAGGGAGCGCAGGCGGGAAGACAAGUUGGAAGUGAAAUCUAUGGGCUCAACCCAUAAACUGCUUUCAAAACUGUUUUUCUUGAGUAGUGCAGAGGUAGGCGGAAUUCCCGGUGUAGCGGUGGAAUGCGUAGAUAUCGGGAGGAACACCAGUGGCGAAGGCGGCCUACUGGGCACCAACUGACGCUGAGGCUCGAAAGUGUGGGUAGCAAACAGGAUUAG